rnacentral:misc_RNA from 1 species
GAAAUACGAUAAGUAAUGUGAAUUGCAGAAUUCAGUGAAUCAUCGAAUCUUUGAACGCACAUUGCGCCCGCCAGCACUCUGGCGGGCAUGCCUGUUCGAGCGUCAUUUCAACCCUCAGAACCCCUUGCGGGCUCUGGCGUUGGGGAUUGGCAUCCAGCCAGCCCCGAAAUCUAGUGGCGGUCCCUCCGCGACCUCCCCUGUGCAGUAGCGAUACCUCGCAGCGGGACAGCGGUCUGACCACGCCGUAAAACCCCCAACUUCUCAAGGUUGACCUCGAAUCAGGUAGGAAUACCCGCUGAACUUAAGC